rnacentral:rRNA from 1 species
UACGUAGGCAGCGAGCGUUGUUCGGAGUUACUGGGCGUAAAGAGUGCGUAGGCGGUGUUCCAAGUCUGGUGUGAAAUCUCCCGGCUCAACUGGGAGGGUGCGCCGGAAACUGGGAUGCUGGAGUAUGGGAGAGGUAAGCGGAAUUCCUGGUGUAGCGGUGAAAUGCGUAGAUAUCAGGAGGAACACCUGCGGUGUAGACGGCUUACUGGACCAUGACUGACGCUGAGGCACGAAAGCGUGGGGAGCAAACAGG